AUAAAUGGAAAACAGUUUCCUAUAAUAAGAAGGACAAACGUAAAAGUGCAACGAACAAAGAAGAUGACAAAAACGAUUUUCUGUUAAUAGGUGAUUCUAUAUUAAAAAAUGUUAUUGUGCCGGACUGCAAGGUCGAUGUUCGACCUGGAAUCCGAUCGCAUCAACUCAACAAACAUUUUAAGAAUGUAUUGUCCACGAAAAGAAACACGGGCGAAACUGGUAACAAAACUUUAAGUACCGACGAUUACAGAGGUGUCUUAAUCCACGUGGGCACGAACUCCAUCCGCAGUAACAGUGAGGAAGAAAUCGUGAAUGAAACACGGAAUCUGAUUAGAUCGGCGAAAACUGUAUACCCAACAUCCAGGCUGGUAAUUAGUGGAAUUGUUCAUCGAAGAUCGAGCUUCUGCUGCCAUCAUGGCAGAGAGAGAAUGGGGUGCAGGAGAUCCUAAUGACUCAGCCAAUGGUGACAGUGAGCUAGGUUCAACUGGUGAUGCAGUGAUACGACAACCACCUCCAGGAGGAGCCUGCAGCUCACACACUCUAUGCUGUAACCGAAGCACCAAUUCCUCCAGUUUCUGAUUAAUGGCACGCUGUGACUGGUAUUUGCUCUCUACUGCCUGUUAUGAAGAAAUAAAUGCAUUACAUCAUAGAAGAAAUAGGAGAGCCACCUCCAAGGGAACUGAUUGCAGUGCAUUUCCUUGCUAACUGCCACUUGGAUCUGUUGAAGGCGUGGACAGAUUGCUGAGAAAGUGUGUUACAGCUCAUUAAAAGUGUUAAAGUGAUUGCAAAAAAUACUAAACACUGAGCAAGUGAAAUUUUUUUAUCUAAACAUGAACUGCAAUGCACAGUGCAAUUUAGUUUUUUUUUCUUUUUUGCUACCCAUGAGGAUUUAUUUUGUUUAGCAAGACAGGACUUGUACCAAAUGAUAUGUAUCGUUAUACGUAAUCUUUGCUUACCCAAAAAGGACCACUUCUGAUGAAGAUACAUAUUUUUUUCUUACAAGUAUAACUUGUGGAUAUUUUGUGUAAUUUUUCAAUACAUUGUAUGUAAAUAUUCUGUAUGGGGACUUUCCUAUGGCCAGUUAGUAUAAGGAUAAAUUUGAAAAAAAAAAAAGUACUGUAGUUUUUGAUAAGAUUUCUUAUGUAAUAUUUUUUUGCAUGUAGAUUUUAAACCCAAUUUCUGGCUCACUUGUGGUCACUGAAUUGCCCAGUUAGCCAUUUGCAAUAUCUAUCUGGUCAAUGCAAUGAGGGGGGUGAUAUGUCGAAGCAAGCUGGGAUAUUUUUACUUCCCUUCUUGUUUUGCCAUCUGCCACCUUUAAAUUCAUUUUUUCGCUUUCAACUGAUUACCAUUAACAUUUGUGAAUAGAAUAUGCAUUUUCAUAAAAGAAAAUAUAACACCAGAUCUAAUUUCAUGCUUAGUUUUAGGGAUGUAAUUGAUUUUCUAAUGUAUUUUGACUAUUCCCAGUUAGUAUCUUUUGCUAUAGGGUGACAUCAGUAAUUGUUUCAUAACUUAAGUUCUAUUGUUAACAUAUAAACAAAUAUAAAUUCUGUAAUAACUAUAAAUGUUUGGAUGAUGAAAUGCUGGUAAUCUUAAAGUAUCUAUUUGUCUCCAGUCUAAAACUUGUUAGCAAAGCCAGCCCUUAAUUAAUUCCAAAGUAAUUAACAGUUUUGUCAAAAUUAUUGUUUGUGUACUUAUAUUUGUUAAUUUCAUGAUUUAAACAAAUAAUUUGGUCUAACUCUUGU